CAUUUUUAGAAUCAUAACUCUGUAGUCUAUGCCUUCUCUUUGACAACUGUCACCUCUUCUAGAAAUUAGUCUCUUUUUUCGGUGGGCCGUGUUAGCGGAACGAGCUCGCCAAGAUGGUGAACAACAGAGUACCGUCGGUAUUCUCCAAAACCUAUGUGACGCCUCGUCGUCCCUUCGAGAAGGCGCGUCUCGACCAGGAGUUGAAGAUCAUCGGAGAGUAUGGUCUGCGCAACAAGCGUGAGGUAUGGCGCGUAAAGUACACGCUUGCCCGCAUCCGUAAGGCUGCCCGUGAGCUGCUCACCCUCGAGGAGAAGGACCCCAAGAGGUUGUUCGAAGGUAACGCGCUUCUGCGUCGUCUUGUCAGGAUCGGAGUAUUGGAUGAGAAGCAGAUGAAGCUCGAUUAUGUGCUCGGUCUGAAGAUCGAGGACUUCUUGGAGCGCCGUCUGCAGACCCAGGUGUUCAAGGCCGGUCUCGCUAAGUCCAUCCAUCAUGCCCGUAUCCUCAUCAGACAGAGGCACAUCCGGUGAACUUACAUGCUGGCAGCAGCUGCCUGGUUUUGGCUCUUAUUCUAAAAGACCACUUGGCUUCCAACACUGUUGGAGUCAAUGUCUUGAAAUAUUUAUAAGCUCUGUGAGCUUUACUAAGUGUACGCAAACAAGUGGUGAACAUUCCUUCAUUCAUUGUUCGCCUGGACAGUGGCAAACACAUUGACUUCUCCCUGAAGUCGCCCUUC